GAUGAACGCUGGCGGCGUGCCUAAUACAUGCAAGACGAGCGAACGGACGAGAAGCUUGCUUCUCUGAUGUUAGCGGCGGACGGGUGAGUAACACGUGGAUAACCUACCUAUAAGACUGGGAUAACUUCGGGAAACCGUAGCUAAUACCGGAUAAUAUUUUGAACCGCAUGGUUCAAAAGUGAAAGACGGUCUUGCUGUCACUUAUAGAUGGAUCCGCGCUGCAUUAGCUAGUUGGUAAGGUAACGGCUUACCAAGGCAACGAUGCAUAGCCGACCUGAGAGGGUGAUCGGCCACACUGGAACUGAGACACGGUCCAGACUCCUACGGGAGGCAGCAGUAGGGAAUCUUCCGCAAUGGGCGAAAGCCUGACGGAGCAACGCCGCGUGAGUGAUGAAGGUCUUCGGAUCGUAAAACUCUGUUAUUAGGGAAGAACAUAUGUGUAAGUAACUGUGCACAUCUUGACGGUACCUAAUCAGAAAGCCACGGCUAACUACGUG
rnacentral:rRNA from 1 species